GUCAGCGACCAUACCAUAUAGAAAGCAGAAGCUUAGUUACGUUGUGUCCGGUUAUUACUUGCAUGGGCCACCGGCUGGGAAUACAGAGUGUUACUGACA
rnacentral:rRNA from 1 species